AUUGAACGCUGGCGGCAGGCCUAACACAUGCAAGUCGAAAGAGUGGCGGACGGGUUAGUAAUGUCUGGGAAAAUGCCUGAUGGAGGGGGAUAACUACUGGAAACGGUAGCUAAUACCGCAUACCAUCAGAUGUGCCCAGAUGGGAUUAGCUAGGUGGUGGGGUAACGGCUCACAAAGGCGACGAUCCCUAGCUGGUCUGAGCGGAUUACCAGCCACACUGGAACGGAGACACGGUCCAGACUCCUACGGGAGGCAGCAGUGGGGAAUAUUGCACAAUGGGCGCAAGCCUGAUGCCGCCAUGCCGCGUGUAUGAAGAAGGCCUUCGGGUUGUAAAGUACUUUCAGCGGGGAGGCGUUACCCGCAGAAGAAGCACCGGCUAACUACGUGCCAGCAGCCGCGGUAAUUC
rnacentral:rRNA from 1 species